rnacentral:lncRNA from 1 species
UUAUUUUUGCAAAAAUUCAUUUGAAUCAGAAACUAUUUGACUACUUAAUUAGAUAGUUGUUAUUGUAGUCUUUUCUUGAAGCUGCUUUUAUAAAUGAAGACUUGAAAAUUAAGACGAUUUGGAUUGUUAAAAAAGAAGAAUGUUGAGGACCUUAAAGGGUGAGGGAUCCCUCUAACUUGACAUUUUUGGGUUUGGUUACUUUUCGUACUAGAUAAAGUUGUAAUGGCAUCCGUAGAAAAAUAGAAUGGAGGGCUGGCUUCUGCUUACUUUUCAUUUUUCAAUCUUCCAACCCAACUACCGAAAGCAUGCAUGGCAUUUUGACAAUGCCAUUUCGAGUGCUUAGCUAUCUAUCAACAUCACCACUUUCACCUUCCACCUAGCAACCGUAUCUGAUGCUUUCUGCUGUUCUUGUUGGCACCAUUCAAAACCAUCAGCCACCCUAUGUCAUUUUAUACUUCCAAUUGUUUUAUGAUUUUCUAUUCUUAUUGGCUGUCGAAAGCUUAAGCCCAUAUUGGUCCAUGUUCCCCACAUGUUCUUGUCUGUUGGAAGAAAAUUAAACAAGGGGAGCUUGAGAUUCAGGCCCAAUAGAGGGGCUGAAAUAGUAGAAAAAAACCCAACCCUAUAGAUUCAAGCCCAUUUGCUGCAAUGAUGUUCCUUCAAGCUGCUUCAGUGUUUUAUCACCGAGUUAAGAGUUCCAUUGUAGUACGAGUACUACAGUACUACUGCACUGCACUACACCGCAAAUCAAAUUUGUACUACGUCUUAGAAGAUGUGUACUAAUGUACUUUGCAUCAGAAAUAUAAACUUUCUAUUAUGUACAUACUGUGUAUAUAAAACACAACAGAAAUGAGGUUGCAGCAGCACUACCUCCCUCUACUGCUAAACUAGUUAGUUUUAGUUUACUGGUGUUAUUGAACUAUCAAACACAGCCUCCUCUGUCUCUCUAUCUAUGUUAAGAGUAAGCUUUGCAGUCUCUGUGUGUUUCUUAUAUCAUAUCUUUCAUAUGUUACUUUGAUCUGUUUUUCCUUUGUUAAUUUAUAAGCAGGGCCAUGUAUAUACAAAAAUGGGGUGGCCAUUUUUCAUAUCUUGGCACCAAAGUCACCACCCGACUAUUGUUACCAUCGUCAAUUCGUCCUCCAACAAGUCCGUUAUCUUUAUAUGUAGACUAUAACUCUGAGAAUAUGUACUACAAUAAGAUAUAGUGCAUAUAUAGUUAACAGACUUGUUUGGGGACGAAUUGAAGAUGUCAACAGUCUGGUAGUAACUUUGGUGCCAAGGUAUAAACAAUGCUCACCUCAAUUUUGUUUUCUUUGUAUAUAGACUGCAUAUAAUUAACAAAAGAAAGAAGAUUAUUAUACGAUGAAUUUCAAUCCAGAAGUGGCAGAGUGGUUUGCAAUCUGAGCUGAGAUGGUAUAUAAUCCAAUAUAACUGCAUUUUGGAGUGGCACUCACUUGAAGGGAAUUUGGUGGUAGAAAUUAAAUCAAAAGCUCUGAUGUGACAGCAAAUGACGUUGUUGAUUGUGAUCCACACUGGAUGUCGAACUGGUCAAUUGCUCUAUGUGGUGGUGUUGCUGCUCUCGGCAAUCCACGUGUGUUCUUGUAAUUUGCCUUCAUUUUCCAAUUGUAACUUUGUUCCUCCUGUGUAUUGAGAAAAUAAUAAUAAUAAAUCUUUAUAGUGACAAAAGUAAAUUCCAAUCACAAAAACAACUCUGUUGCAAUUAGCAUCACAAUACUGUAGAAACAUUAACUUAAUACCAAUCACAAAUGAUUUAAUAAUCAACUGAUGCCAUUUUCCUUGGAAAAUGAUUUUGGCAUUUUACCUCUCACACUCCUCUAGGCACCAACUUACAGACAGGCAAGAGUCCGAUGAUAUGGGACUACAAGCAAAGCAAAGCAAUAACACUAGACAUAGAUUUGAUACAGAUUGGAAAGCAAACAAAGACGCUGCUGCUUCAACAAGCCAAGAUACGUCACAGCCAACCCAAAUCUGUCAAGAGACACGCCGCGGAGGGCAAGGGAGACCAUUCUUGUUUAGAAUGCCAAUCAAAGAGGAUGAAGGCAUGUCGACCCAAACAAAAGAGCGUGAUUAGAGAGAAGAGAGGUUCUGUGGGAUUUCCAAGGAUGCAUCAUGCAUGGGUAAGUCUCUCCCUUGGAAUUAUUUCAUAUACUUUCUUAAUUGAAUAAGAGCAUGUCUAAUGCAAGGGAAGGGGGAAGGGCGUUAGGUGUUGUUUUAGCCCCUCAAAGUGGUACUAUUCACAAAAUUUAGCUUUUCAAAUUUUUUGUGGUUCUAGUGGUGAGGGAUUAGGGUUACAACUCAAAACUUGU